rnacentral:rRNA from 1 species
CCUACGGGGUGCAGCAGUGAGGAAUAUUGGUCAAUGGGCGAGAGCCUGAACCAGCCAAGUCGCGUGAAGGAUGACGGCCCUACGGGUUGUAAACUUCUUUUGUCAGGGAGCAAUUGGGUCCACGCGUGGGCUUAGCGAGAGUACCUGAAGAAAAAGCAUCGGCUAACUCCGUGCCAGCAGCCGCGGUAAUACGGAGGAUGCGAGCGUUAUCCGGAUUUAUUGGGUUUAAAGGGUGCGUAGGCGGAAUAUCAAGUCAGCGGUAAAAAUUCGGGGCUCAACCCCGUCGUGCCGUUGAAACUGAUGUUCUUGAGUGGGCGAGAAGUAUGCGGAAUGCGUGGUGUAGCGGUGAAAUGUAUAGAUAUCGCGCAGAACUCCGAUUGCGAAGGCAGCGUACCGGCGCCAGACUGACGCUGAGGCACGAAAGCGUGGGGAUCGAACAGGAUUAGAUACCCGGGUAGUC